rnacentral:rRNA from 1 species
AUUGAACGCUGGCGGAAUGCUUUACACAUGCAAGUCGAACGGCAGCACGGGAGCUUGCUCCUGGUGGCGAGUGGCGAACGGGUGAGUAAUGCAUCGGAACGUACCUAUUAGGGGGGGAUAACUAUCCGAAAGGAUAGCUAAUACCGCAUACGUCCUGAGGGAGAAAGCGGGGGAUCGCAAGACUCCGCGCUAAUAGAGCGGCCGGUGUUGGAUUAGCUAGUUGGUGGGGUAAAGGCCUACCAAGGCGGCGAUCCAUAGCUGGUCUGAGAGGAUGAUCAGCCACACUGGGACUGAGACACGGCCCAGACUCCUACGGGAGGCAGCAGUGGGGAAUUUUGGACAAUGGGGGCAACCCUGAUCCAGCCAUUCCGCGUGAGUGAAGAAGGCCUUCGGGUUGUAAAGCUCUUUCGGCAGGAACGAAACGGUGGUUACUAAUACUAGCUACUAAUGACGGUACCUGAAGAAGAAGCACCGGCUAACUACGUGCCAGCCGCCGCCGUAA